rnacentral:rRNA from 1 species
UACGGAGGAUCCAAGCGUUAUCCGGAAUCAUUGGGUUUAAAGGGUCCGUAGGCGGUUUUGUAAGUCAGUGGUGAAAGCCCAUCGCUCAACGGUGGAACGGCCAUUGAUACUGCAAGACUUGAAUUAUUAGGAAGUAACUAGAAUAUGUAGUGUAGCGGUGAAAUGCUUAGAGAUUACAUGGAAUACCAAUUGCGAAGGCAGGUUACUGCUAGUGGAUUGACGCUGAUGGACGAAAGCGUGGGGAGCGAACAGG